UCGAACUUGACUCGCCGUGUUUCCGGGUAGGGGCUCCUCGCCCGACAGCCUCACGCGGACCUGUCAGACCGCGCUCGUCAGCUGGACGUCCUCGGAGGACUCCGAAACGCCCCGGGCCUCUUUUCGAGACGCAGUGUCGAGCUUAGUUACUGUUGCUGAUACGAGUGUUGUAAAGUUUAAAAAGAAAGUGUCCUCCAUGUUCUCCGCUGCUCUCUUGGCCCUCGCCCUCUCGCUGGCCGGGAUGUAGUUGUCCUCAAUGAAGCCGUCAUCAUCUUCCUCGUUCAGGGGAGGGACACAGUGAGGGUUCAUUCCACAUCCGCCGUGCAUGGCGAACUCCACCUCUAGGCCUGGAAGCAGUAAUAGAAACUCAAGAGUUGUACUACAUUAUGAAUAACAACCACUUAAAGGUUUAAUUGAAGCAAGGUCAUAACAGUUCAACUGCCCUCAAACGUCGCAUUUGGUUGGAGGAAUGGCAGCGUCAACAGAGAAACCACAGGGACACAAUGAGUCACAUGCCAAGCUCAGUAACAGCUAAUAAAGCUACACGCUACAUAACCCUCACCGUGACCAGAAAGUGAUAUUUGAUAUUUACAGAUUAGCUUUAGCACCUCGUUUCUUUAUUAAAUAAAUGCUUUGAACUUGAACGUUCGUGUCGUAGAGAUUGAAAAAAACAAUGAACGAGUAAUCUAAUGAAAGCGAGCUGUUAAUGGUGCGAUAAUGUUUUGGGUGAAAACAGCAAGUGGCCUGCAUCAACAUGUGGGUCAGUAUUUCUCACUAGCUGAGGGGUGCCACAGGGAUGGGGCUGUUCGAGCUAUGAAUAACUAUCAUUUUUAAUACUAAAUAUAUAUAACAUAUUACCUUUGUAUAAUUAGUGUUCCAUUUUUGCCCUAAAUUGAGAAGAAAGUGCUUUUUAGCCGUCAGUAGGUGCAGGGAAUGGUUUGGCUACCUGGACACUGAAAUGUAAAUGAUGAAUAACUGCAAUGGGGGAAAAUUUACAUGAUAAUUUCUAUUGUUGCAUUGCUCAGAAUUUUAUCCGCUUUUUAAUAUCAGUCGGGCAAGUAUGAGAUUUUACUUGUGGAUUUUACUGGAAAAGUGGU